rnacentral:lncRNA from 1 species
GGAGGAUGGAGCCUUUUGACCUUUACAUUUUUAUUAGCAGAUCUCUGUCAUCCCAGUGUAAUCUAAAGGCUCUUAUUCUAUCCCUUUGUCUUCCAGGAAACGUCUGAAAUAAGCAUUGUGCUCUCUGGAGACAGGGGAAAGUCUUUUCAUCAUCCAAAGCCCUGGCAGCCCCAGCUGUAUUUCAUACCUGAUUCUACUCACAUGACCAAAAUAAGCAAAAUGCCUCAGGAAAACCAAAAUGAUUUUGUCUUUAAAAUCUGGAAACCAUCCAGCUCUGUGGCUCAUUCUGAUAGGGUGACACCAGAGAUAAAUCAGCACUCAUCACUGGUAAUGGUCAGGUGUGAGUAA